rnacentral:rRNA from 1 species
AACGAACGCUGGCGGCAUGCCUAAUACAUGCAAGUCGAACGAUCACUUCGGUGAUAGUGGCGCACGGGUGCGUAACGCGUGGGAAUCUGCCCUUGGGUUCGGAAUAACUUCUGGAAACGGAAGCUAAUACCGGAUGAUGACGUAAGUCCAAAGAUUUAUCGCCCAAGGAUGAGCCCGCGUAGGAUUAGCUAGUUGGUGGGGUAAAGGCCCACCAAGGCGACGAUCCUUAGCUGGUCUGAGAGGAUGAUCAGCCACACUGGGACUGAGACACGGCCCAGACUCCUACGGGAGGCAGCAGUAGGGAAUAUUGGACAAUGGGCGAAAGCCUAAUCCAGCAAUGCCGCGUGAGUGAUGAAGGCCUUAGGGUUGUAAAGCUCUUUUACCAGGGAUGAUAAUGACAGUACCUGGAGAAUAAGCUCCGGCUAACUUCGUGCCAGCCGCCGCCGUAAGAC